rnacentral:rRNA from 1 species
UACGUAGGGUGCAAGCGUUAAUCGGAAUUACUGGGCGUAAAGCGUGCGCAGGCGGUUUUGUAAGUCUGUCGUGAAAUCCCCGGGCGUCAACCUGGGAAGUUGCGAUGGAGACUGCAAGGCGUAGAAUCUGGCAGAGGGGGUAGGAAUUCCACGUGUAGCAGUGAAAUGCGUAGAGAUGUGGAGGAACACCGAUGGCGAAGGCAGCCCCCUC